rnacentral:lncRNA from 1 species
AGGUUUAAGAAACUGGCUUAUAUGAUGUGAGGGCUGGCAAGUCCAAAUCUGAAGGGAGGGAACAGACCAUGGAUAUAUUUGAAGGAAAAGUAUUCAGGGCAGAGGAAAGAGUAAGCAUGAAGGUCCUGCGGCAGAGUGGCAGCCAGGAGACCCAGGGAAGAAAUAAUGUUGCAGCCCAAGACCCAAGGCAGUCUAGAGGCAGAAUUCCUUCUUCCUGAGGGGAUGUCAGUCUGUCUUUCCUAAGACCUUUAACUGAUUAGAUGAGGCCCCCUCCCCUAUUAUGGGGAGGAAUCUACUUUACUCAAAGUCCACCGAUUUAAAUAUUAACCCCAUCUAAAAAUACUUUCACAGAACAUCUAGACUGAUGUUUGACCAAAUAUCUGGGUACCUUGGCCUAGUCCACCUGACACAUAAUAAUUGAUCAUCACACUAAUCUGUACAAAUGUUUAUUUUGUCCAGGAACUGUUUUAAAUGUUUUACACAUAUUAACUCACUUAAUCUUAACAACUCUAUGAGCUAGGGUUACUAUUAUCAUCCCCAUUUUACAGAUGAGGCACACAGAGAUUAAGUAACUUGCCUGCGAUCAUAUAGAUUAUAAAGGACAGUGCUGGAACUUGAAUCCUUGCAACAUGGCUCCAAAGUUUAUUCUUAACUGCUUUGCGAUUUACUCUCAGGAAAAAAAAAAAAAAAAAAAAAGACAUGUAGGGCUGACUCAAGGCCAAGAAAAACUUGGGCUUUCUCACUGCAAAUUGAGCAAUCCUCUCCGUGCUCCUCACUCUCCUGACUGGCCUCAUCCAUUCCCUGUCCACAGUUUUUGAAUGCUGGUGAAGUCCAGAGCCAGCAGCCAAGAAGAAUUCUUGAGCCAUCUUUGGUGCAAAAUGUUGGUUUUAUUAAAGCUGGGAUAGGACCCGAGGUAGGGGGGGCAGGAAGAGCUGCUGCCCCAGGGUUGUGAUGGGUGGCUGACUGUAUACUUGGGAGUUGGAAAAGGGGGGUUUUCAAAAGAACUUUCAUAUGCUAAAGAAGGCGUACAGCCAUUGUCAAGUUAAGGCUGUUUUUGCUUCUAGCAAGGCAUUAACAUUAAGACAGUUGGGAGUUUCCUACUGGAAGUUAGGUUAUUGACAAGAAUGCUUUUUUUCUCUUAAAUCAAUAAAACAUUUGUCAAGUGAGCAGGUUAACCAUUUCUUUUUCCUCCCCUCCCGUUUUUCCUCCCCCUCCUCCCUCCAGGGAGCUUUUAGGAUCUCAUUAACUAGAUAAGUCCUUCUAUUAUAUGAUCUCAUAGCAACAUAUACCUUUCCUUAUAAGCACUUACUAUAUUUUUGCAUUUAUUUUGACGAUCAUAUUAUUAAUGUCUCUCUCUGUCUCUCAAGUCUAUGAGGGCAGGAUGGGACUGAUGGGAUCUUUUCCCCCUCUUAACGUUAGAUCCUCUGGCCUCUAGCAUCUGAUACUGAGUAAGUACUC